CGGCGGACGGGUGAGUAACGCGUAGGAAUCUACCUGGUAGUGGGGGACAACAUGGGGAAACUCAUGCUAAUACCGCAUACGCCCUAUGGGGGAAAGCGGGGGACCUUCGGGCCUCGCGCUAUCAGAUGAGCCUGCGUAGGAUUAGCUUGUUGGUGAGGUAAAGGCUCACCAAGGCGACGAUCCUUAGCUGGUCUGAGAGGAUGAUCAGCCACACUGGGACUGAGACACGGCCCAG
rnacentral:rRNA from 1 species